rfam:Asian citrus Psyllid, Diaphorina citri - Florida Strain, whole genome shotgun sequence.
GACUCGGUGAUGUAGUGGUCAAGACGCUCGGCUGAUAAUCAAGACGUUCUGGGUUCAAUCCCAGCCGAGGCG